GUGAGGAAUUUUCCGCAAUGGGCGAAAGCCUGACGGAGCAAUGCCGCGUGAAGGAUGAAGGCCUAUGGGUUGUAAACUUCUUUUCUCAGAAAAGAAUUAUGACGGUAUCUGAGGAAUAAGCAUCGGCUAACUCUGUGCCAGCAGCCGCGGUAAGACAGAGGAUGCAAGCGUUAUCCGGAAUGAUUGGGCGUAAAGCGUCUGUAGGUUGUUUAAAAAGUAUUGUGUCAAAGAUUAGGGCUUAACCCUAGAUAGGCAGAAUAAACUUUUAAGCUAGAGUUUGGUAGAGGCAGAGGGAAUUCCCGGUGGAGCGGUGAAAUGCGUAGAUAUCGGGAGGAACACCAAAGGCGAAGGCACUCUGCUGGGCCAAUACUAACACUGAGAGACGAAAGCGAGGGGAGCAAAUGGGAUUAGAAACCCCGGUAGUCC
rnacentral:rRNA from 1 species